rnacentral:rRNA from 1 species
GACGAACGCUGGCGGCGUGCUUAACACAUGCAAGUCGAACGAAGCGGCGAACGGGUGAGUAAUACGUGGGUAACCUGCCCGCCUUUUUGGGAUAAGCCUUGGAAACGUGGUAUAAUACCGAUUAAAGGGGGAGGGGCUCGCGGCCUAUAAGCUUUUUGGUGGGGUGUUGGCCUACCAAGGCGGUGACGGGUAGCCGGCCUGAGAGGGUGAACGGCCACAUUGGGACUGAGAACCGGCCCAGACUCGUACGGGAGGCAAAAGGGGGGGAUAUUGCACAAUGGGCGAAAGACUGAUGCAGCGACGCCGAAUGGGGGAUGAAGGCUUUCGGGUUGUAAACCUCUUUCGCUAUCGAAAGGGUAGGUGGAGAAGAAGCGCCGGCUAACUACGUGCCAGCAGCCGCGGUAAUAC